AUGAACGCUGGCGGCAUGCUUAACACAUGCAAGUCGAACGAGAACUCUUUGAGCUUGCUCGAAGAAAGUAAAGUGGCGCCCGGGUGAGUAACGCGUGGGUAAUCUGUCUUCAAAUUCGGGAUAACCCGCCGAAAGGCGUGCUAAUACCGGAUAACAUCAUGUACGCUGAGGUGUAUGUGAUCAAAGGUAGCCUCUACAAGUAAGCGACUGUUUGGAGAUGAGCCUGCGUACCAUUAGUUAGUUGGCGGGGUAACGGCCCACCAAGGCGACGAUGGUUAGCUGGUCUGAGAGGAUGAUCAGCCACACUGGAACUGACACACGGUCCAGACUCCUACGGGAGGCAGCAGUGAGGAAUUUUGCGCAAUGGGCGGAAGCCUGACGCAGCAACGCCGCGUGAGUGAAGAAGGCCUUCGGGUCGUAAAGCUCUGUCAAAUGGGAAGAACCUGUGCAUGGUAAACAAGUGUGCACACUGACGGUACCAUUGAAGGAAGCACCGGCUAACUCCGUGCCAGCAGCCGCGGUAAUACGGAGGGUGCGAGCGUUAUUCGGAAUUAUUGGGCGUAAAGAGCACGUAGGCGGCAGUGCAAGUCAGGUGUGAAAACCCGGGGCUUAACCUCGGAAGCGCAUUUGAAACUGUGCUGCUUGAGUAUGGGAGAGGGAAGUGGAAUUCCUGGUGUAGCGGUGAAAUGCGUAGAUAUCAGGAGGAACACCGGUGGCGAAGGCGACUUCCUGGACCAAUACUGACGCUGAGGUGCGAAGGCGUGGGUAGCAAACAGGAUUAGAUACCCUGGUAGUCCACGCAGUAAACGGUGAUCACUAGGUGUAGCGGGUAUUGACCCCUGCUGUGCCGCAGGUUACGCAUUAAGUGAUCCGCCUGGGGAGUACGGCCGCAAGGUUAAGAACUCAAAGUGAAUUGACGGGGGCCCGCACAAGCGGUGGAGCAUGUGGUUUAAUUCGACGCAACGCGAAGAACCUUACCUGGAUUUGAAAUCUGCGGGAGUGCUAUGAAAGUAGGAUGUGCCACUUCGGGGAGCCGCAAGACAGGUGCUGCAUGGCUGUCGUCAGCUCGUGUCGUGAGGUGUUGGGUUAAGUCCCGCAACGAGCGCAACCCUUGUCUUUAGUUACCAGCAUUUCGGAUGGGGACUCUAAAGAAACUGCCCCGGUUAACGGGGACGAAGGUGGGGAUGACGUCAAGUCCUCAUGGCCUUUAUGUCCAGGGCUACACACGUGCUACAAUGGCUUGUACAAAGGGUAGCGAGCCUGUGGAGGAGAGCCAAUCCCAUAAAGCAGCCCCAAGUUCGGAUUGGAGUCUGCAACUCGACUCCAUGAAGCUGGAAUCGCUAGUAAUCGCGGAUCAGCAUGCC
rnacentral:rRNA from 1 species